AAAUAAGCCGCGGCUUAAAUAAGUCGCGAACGACUCGUAUAAACAGUCAAUUUGCAAUAAGCCGCUGCUUAUUUAGGCCUAGCUUUCAACUCUGGGCUUAUUUUAGCCGCGGCGUAUUGCAAAUUGACUGUUUAUACGAGUCGUUCGCGACUUAUUUAAGCCACGGCUUCUUUUC